UGCAGUCGAGCGGACAGAUGGGAGCUUGCUCCCUGAUGUUAGCGGCGGACGGGUGAGUAACACGUGGGUAACCUGCCUGUAAGACUGGGAUAACUCCGGGAAACCGGGGCUAAUACCGGAUGGUUGUUUGAACCGCAUGGUUCAAACAUAAAAGGUGGCUUCGGCUACCACUUACAGAUGGACCCGCGGCGCAUUAGCUAGUUGGUGAGGUAACGGCUCACCAAGGCGACGAUGCGUAGCCGACCUGAGAGGGUGAUCGGCCACACUGGGACUGAGACACGGCCCAGACUCCUACGGGAGGCAGCAGUAGGGAAUCUUCCGCAAUGGACGAAAGUCUGACGGAGCAACGCCGCGUGAGUGAUGAAGGUUUUCGGAUCGUAAAGCUCUGUUGUUAGGGAAGAACAAGUACCGUUCGAAUAGGGCGGUACCUUGACGGUACCUAACCAGAAAGCCACGGCUAACUACGUGCCAGCAGCCGCGGUAAUACGUAGGUGGCAAGCGUUGUCCGGAAUUAUUGGGCGUAAAGGGCUCGCAGGCGGUUUCUUAAGUCUGAUGUGAAAGCCCCCGGCUCAACCGGGGAGGGUCAUUGGAAACUGGGGAACUUGAGUGCAGAAGAGGAGAGUGGAAUUCCACGUGUAGCGGUGAAAUGCGUAGAGAUGUGGAGGAACACCAGUGGCGAAGGCGACUCUCUGGUCUGUAACUGACGCUGAGGAGCGAAAGCGUGGGGAGCGAACAGGAUUAGAUAC
rnacentral:rRNA from 1 species